rnacentral:rRNA from 1 species
UAAUACGGAGGGUCCGAGCGUUAUCCGGAAUCAUUGGGUUUAAAGGGUCCGUAGGCGGGAAUCUAAGUCAGUGGUGAAAUCUUACAGCUCAACUGUAAAAUUGCCAUUGAUACUGGAUUUCUUGAAUUAGUGUGAAGUGAUUAGAAUGUGUAGUGUAGCGGUGAAAUGCAUAGAUAUUACACAGAAUACCAAUUGCGAAGGCAGAUCACUAACACUAUAUUGACGCUAAGGGACGAAAGCGUGGGGAGCGAACAGGAUUAGAUACCCUGGUAGUCCACGCCGUAAACGAUGGAUACUAGCUGUUGGAGAGCAAUCUUCAGUGGCUAAGCGAAAGUGAUAAGUAUCCCACCUGGGGAGUACGUUCGCAAGAAUG